rnacentral:misc_RNA from 1 species
UACGUAGGGGGCAAGCGUUGUCCGGAAUUAUUGGGCGUAAAGCGCGCGCAGGCGGUCCUUUAAGUCUGAUGUGAAAUCUCGCGGCUCAACCGCAAGCGGGCAUUGGCAACUGGGGGACUUGAGUACAGAAGAGGAGGGCGGAAUUCCACGUGUAGCGGUGAAAUGCGUAGAGAUGUGGAGGAACACCGGUGGCGAAGGCGGCGCUCUGGUCUGUAACUGACGCUGAGGCGCGAAAGCGUGGGGAGCAAACAGG